ACAUUUCUUUGCACGCCAAAAAAUGUUGUAGAAAAGUUAAGGUUGGGUUUUUCCAGAUUUACACCCUGUUUGGUUCGCUGUAAUGGGGAUACCAUUACAGCCCGAUUCGGUAGGCCCUACCUAUUCCGACGUUUGGUUGGAUGUAAUGCCCUAUUACGGGAUGAUUACAUUAUGCCCUAUUCGUCAUAUUUGAUGCUUUCUAUUCCAGACGGAAAGGUCAGUUUCCAUGCGUUUUAGGUUGUCCCGAUUCCUUCUUCCUUGUUUUACCCUCAAAACCUGAAAGCCACCUCCACCUCUACCCUCUCCCUCUCGAUUUCUUCUGGCCUCAUCGUUUUCGAGCAGGAACUAGGGCUCUGUCAAGGUUAUUGAUCUCCAAAUUCUGACAAGGUUGCGUUGAUUUCCAUCCUUUCUGGGUAUUGGACUGUUAGCUACGGAUUUGCUCCAGACAUAAAUCGUUGGCAAGCUGAAGCUCUAGUUGAAUUUCAAGAGGUAUUUUAUAGUUGCAAUUCAAGAGAUAAUUAUGUCAGGUGUUUUAGAAUCAAAUGUUCCUUCCCAAUCAUCUCAAGGAACCAAAAGGAAAUGGGUUCCAGAAGAAGAUGCAGCAUUGGUUUCCUGCAUGGUGGACUUGCACAAUGUUGGAACAUUUAACACUGAUACGGGGUUCAAAGCCGGUUACUUAAACGAGUUGGAAAAAAUGUUAGAAAAGGCUUUACCCAAUACAAUGUUGAAGGCUAGACCUAAUAUAUAGUCAAGGAUUAGGUUAUUAAAAAAGGAUUGGUCAAUCGUGUAUGACAUGCUUAAUGGCCAAAACAAUAGCGGUUUUGGUUGGGACGAUCAUAGGCAGGUCGUUGUUACUGAAGAUGCGGUUUGGGACUCUUAUUUAAAGAGUCAUAAAGAAGCCGGUCAGUUCAGACAUCGUAGUUUCCCUUACUACGACCAACUUACUGCCAUAUACGCAAAAGAUUGAGCGACUGGGAAAGAUGUUUAAACAGCCGUUGACGUUCUUGAAGAAAUAGAUGCUGAGGAUGUACCUACUGUGUAUAUUAAUGAAGAAAGAAACGAAUACUAUGACUGCGAUGCUAAUGUCUCUUUGGAUGACAUGGAUGUUUCUGCUAUGGAGCCGCAACCAGAUAGAAACCAAGUUGGUUCCUCAUCUUCAAAGAGGAAAAAAAAGAAUUCUGAUGCAAGUGGUCAUUUUUCUUCUUCAGUUAAUGAUGCUGCCACUUUAUUGGCUGAAAACAUGCGGGCCAUUGGCGAACAAAUCAGUAGGAGUAUUGCCUCCGAUGUGGUAGCUCAACAAAGGUCAGAAGAAUUCCAGACCAUCUAAGAAAAAGCUACAAAUUUAUAUCCAACCUUAUGUGAAAUAGAAGGUUUAACUGUGGAUGAGCGGUUUCGAGCAUUGAGUAAAAUUCCAGAUCAUCCAACUCAAAUGCUCGUUUUCUUUAGUUUACCUUCUGAUGUACGGUUGGAAUGGGUUAGAAGAUUUCUUGCUGACCAUUAAAAAUUAUGGUUUUGUUGAUGACAUUUUCGUAACUUUUUCUGUUUGUAAUAUUUGGGAUGGUAUGUCAUUACAAUGUUCUAACUUUUUGGUGUGGCAAAACUGUAUAACAUAUGGAUUGUGACAUAGAAUUUCAUGAA